AACGAACGCUGGCGGCAUGCCUAACACAUGCAAGUCGAACGAAGGCUUCGGCCUUAGUGGCGCACGGGUGCGUAACGCGUGGGAAUCUGCCCUUUGGUUCGGAAUAACAGCUGGAAACGGCUGCUAAUACCGGAUGAUGACGAAAGUCCAAAGAUUUAUCGCCAGAGGAUGAGCCCGCGUUGGAUUAGGCAGUUGGUGGGGUAAAGGCCUACCAAGCCGACGAUCCAUAGCUGGUCUGAGAGGAUGAUCAGCCACACUGGGACUGAGACACGGCCCAGACUCCUACGGGAGGCAGCAGUGGGGAAUAUUGGACAAUGGGCGCAAGCCUGAUCCAGCAAUGCCGCGUGAGUGAUGAAGGCCCUAGGGUUGUAAAGCUCUUUUACCCGGGAAGAUAAUGACUGUACCGGGAGAAUAAGCCCCGGCUAACUCCGUG
rnacentral:rRNA from 1 species